GCAACAACUAUUUAACACUUAACUAUUUAAAAUUGGGUCACACCACAAGUGCUUUGUUAUGCAUCUACUUGCUAUGUGACUGCAGAGUGCUCAUAAAAUAUAUAGGCUGUGGCCUUCAAAUUUGUCCUUCUGUUACUCAUAAGCAAAACUGCUUUGAAUAUGAACUACCUUGAACAUUUUGGGAAAAAACAAAUAUUUCAACUGAAGCAAAAAUUGUGAACCUUUUCUGAACAUUUGUGAUAGGUUCCCCUUCGGCUUGCCAUAGGCUGGAAAUGACUUGAAGGUGGGCAAUAACAAUGGAUAAUCUAAAAUAAAAAUUGGAUCCUUAAAGAGGAGGAGGAGGGCAGAAAUUGAAUAAUUUGAAAAGUUCAUCAUGCCAUUAGCAUGGAAGACAUCAGCUACCACUGAGUAAGAGUGUGCAUUUAGAAUGAUGGUGUCGGCAGUAUGGCUGCAAAGAACACAGAGAUCCCUCCUGUGGAUUUUGUUCUGUGCCUCACAGAUAUCAGCAUACAAUGAGAGGGCAGAAAAUUCAUUUAAACCUUCCAAGGUUCCUAGAUCAGCAAUCUGUAAGAUGGUCUUUAGAGAGUACAUAGUUCCUGGUCAACAUGUAAUAGUUCAACAUUCCCAGUGGAAUAAUGUAGCAAGGAUUCUGAAUCUUUUGCAAGGUAUAUUUUUACAACCAAAAAUAAAAGGCAGCAUAUUUUUGCUCUCUAGGUAUUUUUGUUGUUUACAACCAUUCCCUAUCCUUUCUGCUUAUGCAGUUCUCUUUGCCAUAAACUGAUUUGGUUCUUACUUCCUCUCAAAAGUCUGGGGCAAAAAUGUGCAAUUGCCCAAUCCUUUUAAUAAAAUUGAACAUUUCUUUGAUUCAUGUAAAGUUGUACUCGAUAUUCUUUUUCUGCAACAGCUAUAGACCAG